AUCCAGCUGACGAGUCCUAAAUAGGAUGAAAUGCUCAUCUACCUGUAU
rnacentral:hammerhead_ribozyme from 1 species